ACCUGGAGCAGGCAGUUUUACGCCCCAAGCAGUUUUGCGCCCCUGUUUUUACUUAUUUGUCCAGUAGGGGGCACUUUACAUUAAGAACCACCAGAACAGACCUAAGAACAGAUAACUUCAUCGUCCAUCACGAGUUAUGUCCAUCAUCUGUUCCCUUGCUGGUUUGGAAAAUCUCACAAUGCUGGAGGCUGAGGAGGAAUUUCUACAAGGGCCUGUCAUUGACAUAAGUGAGCGGGAGAAGUUUGACAGGAGGAUUAAGAACAUUUUGAAGAAGAGUGGCAACCCAUAGGAGUCAUUAUCGAGAGCCAUCCUAUAAUGAUCAUCAAUCCUGUUUUUGAUAAUGGUCUUAAUAAAUAAUGUUG